UCCCAACCCUAACUUACGAACUACCACUUUUUCCUCUUAUCUUGCUACUGCCGACGAAGAACAAGACCACCCAUGGCUUCCGGUGUUCGGUUCAAGGCUCUUUUAUGGUCCCCUCCAUCGCUAGGUCGCUAAGGUACUUGCCACGGUUAGGUGCACUGCGUGAUGUCAAAAACCUUUUCGUCUCGUAACAUUGCAUUUAUUACAUUUAUUUUUUGUUGGAUAGGGCAUUUGUUUUGACGUACGUUUUUACCUUACAUUUAUUACUCUUCCGCAUUACUUUUAAACUGUUGACUUUGGUA
rnacentral:lncRNA from 1 species